UGCGCGGUCUGCCUCCCGCGGCGGGCCGGGUCUCCAGGGAGGACCUGAGUUUUCUUCACCCAUUGUCAGGGAGGCGCCAUCGCCCUGGCUUUGGGGCUGGGGCCUCCGGGGAGGUUCCGGUAGGGGCGUUGGAGAGGCCGCUCUUUUUGCAAGGCCCGAGACGGCGGGCCCUGCGCAGGCCGCCCUAUUCCGCGCCCUCAGGGCGUCAGUAUCAGCCUGAGGCUGGAUACCCCCGCUGGGCCCGGAUGACCCCGCUGGGCCCGGAGCAUCCUCCGGCGCUGCCCUCCCAGAGCCACGCAGAGGCUGAGGUGGCGCGGGGGCGGCCCCGGCUCCGCGAGAAGCGGCGGCAGCGAGGGCUGGAGGACCCGGGCUGCGGGGCUCCGGGGCGUCUGGCCUGGGUGGGACUGAGCCCAUCCAGGGACUGGGACUCUGGGAUUCUGGUGUAGGUGGAUCCGGGGCAGGCUCAGGACCAAGUCCCUCUCCUUCCACCAAGGAGCGCCCAGAGGCCGGCGGGAGCUCCAGGUUCACCUCCUCCUCCUCCAGGAAAUCCCACUUCCAGCUAGAUGUCUGCAUGAACUACUGAAAGCUGCUGAGUGUCUUGCAGCAGGUGAGCUGUGGCCAGAGCUCAAGGAUGAAGGGGACUCCCUCACUCUGUGACUGUGAAGAGGAAGCCUGAGGUGUAGCAGGCCCAGGCCCCAGAAGUAUGGAAAAAAUGAGGCCAUUUUCAAUCCAGAGGAAGACCUUCUAAAAGAGGUGAUGGAUGGGAGAGUGCUGACAUACUAUGUGAAGCUACUAUUUGGAGUUGGACACGAGUGCAUGUGACCUUGUGCCACAGCGGGAAUCUUGACUACCACACAAAUGAAUCCAUUCAAAUGUUGGCAAGUGGAGCAGAGUCCCAGGACAGAUCACAUUCUUAACCUCUAGAGAGUCUGGCAGGACCAGAGCCUUACCUUUCCCAGUCUGCAAUCUCUACAGGUACAGAAACACCCCCAGUUCAAGAAUCUUCACAUCUGAAUUUAGUCCUACACCUGCAACUACCCCAGCUACUUACACCAAGAUGAAGAUAAUUUAUUAGUUCA
rnacentral:lncRNA from 1 species